UACUUAGGGCGCAAGCGUUAUCCGGAAUUAUUGGGCGUAAAGAGCUCGUAGGCGGUUUGUCGCGUCUGCCGUGAAAGUCCGGGGCUCAACUCCGGAUCUGCGGUGGGUACGGGCAGACUAGAGUGAUGUAGGGGAGACUGGAAUUCCUGGUGUAGCGGUGAAAUGCGCAGAUAUCAGGAGGAACACCGAUGGCGAAGGCAGGUCUCUGGGCAUUAACUGACGCUGAGGAGCGAAAGCAUGGGGAGCGAACAGG
rnacentral:rRNA from 1 species